GGGUCAGUAGGUUGGUCGUGCCACCGGUACGUACUGGUCUCACUGAUUCCUCCUUCCUGAAGAACCGUAAUGCCAUUAAUUUGGUGUUGCGGGGAAACAGGACUGUUACCUUGAAAAAAUUAGAGUGUUUAAAGCAAGCUAACGCUCGAAUACAUUAGCAUGGAAUAAUGAAAUAGGACGAUCGAUCCUAUUUUGUUGGUUUCUAGGAUUGACGUA
rnacentral:rRNA from 1 species